UACGGGGGGUGCGAGCGUUGUCCGGAAUCACUGGGCGUAAAGGGCGCGUAGGCGGCCUGAUAAGUAGGGGGUGAAAUCCUGCGGCUUAACCGCAGGGCUGCCUUCUAAACUGUCAGGCUUGAGCACAGUAGAGGCAGGUGGAAUUCCCGGUGUAGCGGUGGAAUGCGUAGAGAUCGGGAAGAACAUCAGUGGCGAAGGCGGCCUGCUGGGCUGUUGCUGACGCUGAGGCGCGACAGCGUGGGGAGCAAACAGG
rnacentral:rRNA from 1 species